GGCCCGAGUGGCUGAGUAGUCUAUAGCGCCCAAUAUUACGGAUCACUUGCAUCUCACCUCUGUCUGCAUGGGUUCGAGUCUCGGUCUCGGCCA